rnacentral:rRNA from 1 species
ACUCAAAGGAAUAGACGGGGGCCCGCACAAGCAGCGGAGCGUGUGGUUUAAUUCGAGGCUACGCGAAGAACCUUACCAGGGUUUGACAUGCUGGUGGUAGGGAGGAGAAAUCUGACCGACCCUUCGGGGAGCCAGCACAGGUGCUGCAUGGCUGUCGUCAGCUCGUGCCGUGAGGUGUUAGGUUAAGUCCUGUAACGAGCGCAACCCUCGUCGCUAGUUACAAGUGUCUAGCGAGACUGCCGGUGAUAAGCCGGAGGAAGGUGGGGAUGACGUCAAGUCAGCAUGGCCUUUAUAUCCUGGGCGACACACACGCUACAAUGGCCGGUACAAUGGGUAGCGAAACCGCGAGGUGGAGCCAAUCCCGCAAAGCCGGUCUCAGUUCGGAUUGUAGGCUGAAACUCGCCUGCAUGAAGUCGGAGUUGCUAGUAACCGCGCGUCAGAACAGUGCGGUGAAUACGUUCCCGGGCCUUGUACACACCGCCCGU